CCACGCAAAGACCCGCAGCGGCCGUUUGUUAGAUUCCAGCUUCCUUUGAUUUUACGAGUAGUCAGGGACACGUGUGACGGAUUUAUGACGUCCGAUGGAAUUUAUAUUUAUAUAUAUAUAUAUAUAAAUAUAUAUAUAUAAUACAUCUGGUAACUAUUAGGAGGGCUUUUAAGAAGAAAUGAUGAGCUUAAAGUGUAGAAACUAACUACAGUGGGGAAAUGGAAACAUGAGUGACUUAAAGGAAAGGCAGAAGAAAUAAGGAAGACAACACAAUCUGUCAUAACUGAACAGGAAACAUCUGCAUGCUGUUGUGUGCGUGUGUGUGUGUGUGUGUUUGUGUGUGUGUGUGUGUGUGUGCAAAGACCAAGUCACUUUUAACCGCAAUUUCCCUUCACCUCUGACUUGUUUUUCCUGCACCUAAACCAGGUGGACGACACGACGUGAAUGCAGCUCAAUGCAGUCGUUUGUGUCCUCCAUGCAGAGUCGUGACAACAGGAAGUCGACCACGGCCGCGCGACGAGGCAGCCAUGAGAUCAGCUGAGCUUGCGCCGUCCAUAAAGCUGCUGGCGACUUCCCUGAGACACUGGCGUCAAGACACCCAUGGACACACCCCUCCGACUAUCAGGGCUGCAUCAACACAUUCCAGAGACUUGGGCAAAAGUGUGCUUGAGGACCCCCAAUGUGCAUUUCGUGGCGUGUUUCUGUGUGCAUCCUGUCACUUUCAGGUUAGCAAUAGCCCCAAUUUCGCCAGAAAGUUUGCCAGUUUGGUACUAUAUCAACACACUUUAACACCAGGCUGUAGCUGUGUUUCGAUGGGACUAGAUGACGUUUUUGUAGUUUUUAUGUGAAACUAUUCAGGUUGUUUGAUUGAUUGAUUGAUUGAAACUUUUAUUAGUAGAUUUCACAGUACAGUAUACAUAUUUUGUACAAUUGACCAUUAAAUGGUAACACCCGAAUAAGUUUUUCAACUAGUUUAAG